GACGAACGCUGGCGGCGUGCUUAACACAUGCAAGUCGAACGAAGAGCGAUGGAAGCUUGCUUCUAUCAAUCUUAGUGGCGAACGGGUGAGUAACGCGUAAUCAACCUGCCCUUCAGAGGGGGACAACAGUUGGAAACGACUGCUAAUACCGCAUACGAUCUAAUCUCGGCAUCGAGGAUAGAUGAAAGGUGGCCUCUACAUGUAAGCUAUCACUGAAGGAGGGGAUUGCGUCUGAUUAGCUAGUUGGAUGGGUAACGGCCCACCAAGGCGAUGAUCAGUAGCCGGACUGAAAGGAGGAACGGCCAAAUUGGGAAUGGGACACGGCCCAGACCCCUACGGGAGGGAGCAGGGGGGAAACUUCCGCAAUGGACGAAAGUCUGACGGAGCAACGCCGCGGGAGUGAUGACGGCCUUCGGGUUGUAAAGCUCUGUUAAUCGGGACGAAAGGCCUUCUUGCGAAUAGGGAGAAGGAUUGACGGUACCGGAAGAGAAAGCCACGGCUAACUACGUG
rnacentral:rRNA from 1 species